rnacentral:rRNA from 1 species
GCAAGUCGAGGGGCAUCGGGGAGCGAAGCUUGCUUUGCUCCGCCGGCGACCGGCGCACGGGUGAGUAACACGUAUGCAACCUGGCCGUCACAGAGGGAUAACCCGGAGAAAUCCGGCCUAAUACCGCAUGUGGCCGAGGGGAGGCAUCUUCUUUCGGCCAAAGGAGGCGACUCCGGAGACGGAUGGGCAUGCGUGACAUUAGCUUGUUGGCGGGGUAACGGCCCACCAAGGCGACGAUGUCUAGGGGUUCUGAGAGGAAGGUC